rnacentral:sRNA from 1 species
GUCACCAGAUCGAGUUAUAAUGGACAAAAAAGCAUAUAUGUACAUAUCAAUCUGGCUCACACUGCACGGCUUUUCGGCCAUCCCAUCGCUAGUGCAGAUGCCCAGCACUGAAAGUUGCGUCCCGCGUUUUCCACCAUUUUGUUUUUGCGGAUAGUUGGCGUCGGCGGGUUUUAUUAUAACAAAAUCCCAAUUAAGUGAAAUAUAAUUUGCAAUUUAGAUCAACGUGAGUUUUUAGAAUGGCCGAGCAUGUAGAGUAUCUGGAUGAUCCCGAUAAAUCGGAGAACGACGCGAAAGUUUACAAAUCUCUUGUGCUGUCGGCACCAUCGGUCCAUAUAGGAUUGCCCAGCAACGCAUCCUGUGCCUUGAUGGUCAACCACGGUCCAUUCGCCGAUCCGCGCAACUAUCAGUGCCUGGCCCACCUUCUGCAACAUAUUAUUUUCAUGCGCAGAAAGCCCAGGAUCCCAAGGUGAACAUCAACGGCCAAUGCUCCUCUUCAAUCUUAAGCGAGGACACGAUGUUCUCCUCUAAAGCAUCCGUUGAUGCUGCAGGAAUCCACUGAAUGUGGCCGCGCUCUCGAGGACUCUGAGUUUCAGCUGAUGGCAAACAAAAAUGAACAGCGUCGCAACCAGCCGCUUGCCGGACUUGCCACCCAAGGCUAUCCGCAUGCCUUUUUCAACUUGGGUAACAUGAAAUUGUAGAAUGACAAUGAUGGCCAUCGCCUCCCAAAUUUUUCUCUUGCAGUGCUGCUACGUGCGACUUGUACGUUUCAUUGGUAAAGUUCCAUUUGGACAAGGAAUUGCAACUCGACGAAAGUGCCAAACUCAAUAGCCACUUCAGGGUCAGCGACAAUGGUCUGCGUCUGUUUGUGAGCCGCUACAAUGAAAAUAUCUGUUUGUGGAGGCCAUUGCCUAAGGUAUAACCAGGUUUAAUAACCAGCGCGACUACUACUCCACAAUUCUGAACAAUCCAUGGACCCUCAGCAGGCAGUAUUCUGUAGAGCUGGGACAAAGCCAAUGCCUGACCAUUGUCAAGUAUAAGUCCCUCAAUGGGAUCACUAUGGAGGAUUUAAAGGCAUUUGCCCAGAAAAUACCGCAGGAGCUGUAGAUCAAGGCCCAAAAGGUGGUCCAUUCGUUACUCGGCCCACUAAAAUGCGAGGCCAUUAGGGAUAUGCGGCUCGUGGAGAAAGGAAACGUAAACCUUUACGCGUGGAGGUCAUACUCGACUUGUUAAAUAUGGGCAUCGGGCACCGUCAAAUUUUUUAGACCAGAAUCCAAAUGAAAAUGAGUUGGACAUUGUAUUUCAGCCAAAAAAAUGGAGAGGGGGAUAUGCGGACCAUUGUCGAUAUUGCUGAUUUCAAAAGCGGUACCCCAAACGCAACGAGGGAGGAGCUGUGGGAGGAAACUAGCCGUACCUCAAGCUUCGAGGAUGCCCUGAGAAAUCUGUGCACCAUCGUAGAAUCUUGAUGUUCAUACACUCACGAGAAAGCCAGACAAGGGACACACUCUCCAGAUAAGUUUUUAAGUUGAAUUGAAUACUAGUAUUACAAGUAAUAAUUUCCAUACAUUUAUCAUUAUUUUUAAAAUUUUUUAUUUACUUAUUCAUUUUUCAAAUGACCAAGUCAAACAAUUGAUGGAUUCCUUUCGCUCCCAGACAAAUGGGUUCGCAUGGAACAUCUUCGCCUGCUGAUGAAUUCCUAAGUUUAAAUGAAUAAGAAUAAUAUUAAAAGUACAUUGUAUACAGAAUUCAACAUCUUCAUGUAUGGAUACGAAUGCUGCUGCCAGGCUCUGGCUGGGACCGUUUAAGGUCGUAUUUCACUAGCAAUAAAAAACUAUAUACUAUAGCAACUAUGGCAACAAACCCAAACGACGACAUAUUGAAAUUCAUAAAGGCGUUCGAGCCAAAGUCAAUCCAUGCUUCCCGCUUCGGAUUUAUUCCGAUUGGCGCGACUAGGGUAUACAAAAACCUAUGCGCGCAUCAUGUCUAAAAUACUAUUUUGUUUAAACUUUGUUUUAGUCAAAAUACAAUAAAAGCAUGGA